rnacentral:rRNA from 1 species
CAGUCGCCACGGUAAUACAGAGGGUGCGAGCGUUAAUCGGAUUUACUGGGCGUAAAGCGUGCGUAGGCGGCUUUUUAAGUCGGAUGUGAAAUCCCUGAGCUUAACUUAGGAAUUGCAUUCGAUACUGGGAAGCUAGAGUAUGGGAGAGGAUGGUAGAAUUCCAGGUGUAGCGGUGAAAUGCGUAGAGAUCUGGAGGAAUACCGAUGGCGAAGGCAGCCAUCUGGCCUAAUACUGACGCUGAGGUACGAAAGCAUGGGGAGCAAACAGGAUUAGAUACCCCUGUAGUCCCUGUCUCUUAUAU